rnacentral:rRNA from 1 species
CUGAAUAACUACGCAGAUCGCACGGUCUAGUACCGGCGACAUAUCCUUCAAGUGUCUGCCUUAUCAACUGUCGAAGGUAGUUUAUACGACUACCUUGGUGGUAACGGGUAACGGAAUUUUCGGGAAUGAUUCCGGAGAGGGAGCCUGAGAAACGGCUACCACAUCCAAGGAAGGCAGCAGGCGCGCAAAUUACCCACUCUCAGCUCGAGGAGGUAGUGACGAAAAAUAACGAGACAGUUCUCUAUGAGGUCUGUCAUUGGAAUGGGUACAAUCGAAACCCUUUAACGAGGAUCAAUUGGAGGGCAAGUCUGGUGCCAGCAGCCGCGGUAAUUCCAGCUCCAAUAGCGUAUAUUAAAGUUGUUGCGGUUAAAAAG